CACCUGGGUCCUACGUGGCGGAGCGCCCCCUUCUCUCUCCCUAAAAUCGUUCCCCAUUUCUCUUUCUAGGGUUUCGUCGGCGCCGGACGAUUUCCUCAGCGCGGCGGGGGGCGUGCGAGGGAGCAGGCUCUGAGUUCGUCGAGGAGCACGAGUGCGCGCUGGAUGGAGGAUUCCUCGUCGGCGAAGGGCCGGCUGCACGGUAGCGCGGCGAGCUCUGUGUCGAGGAGCAAGACGACCGGUUGCCCGCGGUGUCCCACAUCUGCCUCCACCUCGCCGGCCCAGUGCCCAUUCUCCUCCAGUUGCACCGCCUCCCUCUCCCCCGCCACCAAAACUGCGCCUCCUGAAGUCCCCAGCCCCGGCGUCCUUUGCUCUGCGCCUCCCCGCCUCCUCUCCUCCGCCCCGCUCUGGGACUCUGUCGGCGGCGCCGAGGAGGAGCACUCGGACGGCGAGGGAGCAGGAAGCCUUGUGGGAGAGGACUCAGCGGUGUUCCGACUAAGCGACCAGCGGGUGCUGUCCUGGGCCUACUUCAGCGGAUCCUCGACAUGGUGCUCUAUGGGCUAAACGUGCUCUAGAUCGAUCAGGCCGCCGGGUUCAGGACUGCUUCCUCGACGACGUUGGCUCCAUAUCCAACAACCGCGAGGUGGGUUGAUCCGUCCACAUGAUUCUCUGCUAGUAAUACUCACUGCAUAUUCUGAGACAUUCAUUCACCGCUAUGGUUCCUACUGCUAUUCUAGGAUAGUACUACACCAAUUGUGUCAUGUCUGUGAUGGAAUUGGAGACGAGCAAGAUCUACAAUUGACGAUAUGGGAGCAGACAGCCAUAGCAUUAUAGUGACUUAGUGAGAGCUAUUCUGGUGACAUCAAUAUUCAUGGCGUUGCUUUAGUUUGUUCUUUUCUUGUCCGGUCAUAGAGGUUGAGGAUUAGUGGUGUUUUUUGUGCUUUGUUAGGCCAUCUUCCUUUUUCUGAUUAGUGCACUGCUAGAUUUUUGAAGGACGUUUCUUUUGUGGAAGUAAAUUAGAACCAGGGUAUGUUAUAGACAAAAGCAUGGUUUAGCUGCUGGUGUUAUUGUGCUAUAAAACACAAUCCAAAUCUCAGUAUACUGACUUGUAUGAUGAUGUCUAUUUGCACCAUAAAUCGGGACCGCAAGAAGCCAAAUCACUAGACACGCAACUGCUUCAAUUUAUUCCCAUUGCAAGCACGUACAGUUGCAAGUAUUACUUUACAUUCACGAUAAUAUGCAGCAUCGGGCUAGCUACAGAGUGGACAUCUUGUAUUUUUUAGCUAUCAUAUGUUUGUAUUUUGUAAGCGACGUGAGUAUUUUCACUAUAUGUAUCGUUAUUUUUUCAAUAAGUUGUACUCCCUCCGGUUCAUAUUAAUUGACUCAACUUUGUCUAAAUAUGUAUGUAUCUAGUCAAUAAACAUGUCUAGAUGCACUCAUAUCUAGAUAAAGUUUAGUCAAUUAAUUUAGAUCGGAGGGAGUAUAAUGUUUUUCAUUUAGUUGAUUGACCAACAUGGCUAAUUUGGUUACUGAUUUCAUAUUAGUUGCUUCCAUGCCUUAGUUGUCUUCAACGGCUAGUUAAGCUUUUUUUAGCACCAUCAUUAAUUUUUGCAUGCUUAUUUCAUUAAGUUGGUUUUCAAACAGGGUUAAGUUGGUUACUCAAACCACCAUAGUUGCUACUCUGUCAACAUGCCUAGUUGUUUUCUCAACAUGCUUAGGUUCAGUACUGAAAUCAAUUAAGUUGAUUCCUCCAACAUGCUUAAGUUGUUAGAUAUUGAUACAAUCUAUCUAGGUGUUCCUGAGCAACAUGCAUGAGUUGUCCACUAGUUUAAUUAGUUGCUUUCUGAACAUGUUCCAGUUGAGUAUUAAAAAUUAAUUAAGUUGAUUCUUUCUAGUAUGUUUAAGUUGUGUGGGUGUCUACAAUAUAUCUUGGUUUUCGUUUUCGAGCAACAUGCAUAACUUGCUCUUUGGUCUAAUUAAGUUGCCCUUGCCAAGAUGCUUAAGGUGCUUAUUUUGUGAUAUUGCUAACUUGUACCUUGAAGCGGUGGAUCCCGGACAGUGCAGCCAGUACCAUCUCGAGCGCCUACGGUGGCUGACACCAUGUAGCUCCAGCAGGUGGCAGCGCCCAAUGCCCACGAUUCAUGACUUGAUGCACCGCCCCUGGCGUUUCACCGUCGAAUACUUCCAGCAGAAGAUGACGGCUUCCCACUCCGCCUCCGUCAUCUGUAGCCUUUGUGUUUUUUUGCUUCAUCAACAUACCAUCAGUGCUUCCUUCGUGCUCCACAGGUUUAUUAAGUUGUUUCAUUAACAUGUGCGAGUUGUCUUCUGAAAAAUUGCUAAAUUUCUUCUACAUGUUAGUUAUGCUUUCUAGUUUAUUGUUCACAUUCUAACUCCCCUCAAAUAAACUGAAUAGUUAUGCCUUUUCAUAUUUUGCACAAGUUGGUUAUCAAAAGUUACAGAGUUGAAUUCCCUCCUAGUUGUCAUGUAUUAAAUGAGGUUUCCUUAAUAUGUGCGAGUUGGCUACUGAAAAUAGGAAAAUUGAUUCCGCAAGCAUGCUAAAGUUGCCUACUGAAAUUAUUAAGUUGCACCCACAUACUAGUUGUUUUUCAAUUUCUUAUUCACAUUAUAGCUAAAAAAAAUUCCCUCAAAGUUGCAAGGUUUAGGAAAGCGGAAAAAAAGCGUCGCAUACGCGCGAUGAAGCGCAAUGUGGAGGCCUUCUGCAUCGAUUGCAUAAGCGCUUAAGCGGAAAAAGCGGAAAAAAGCGCCGCUUAUGCGCGCUGAAGCGCUAAGCGGAAGGCCACCUCACCAAUUACGCUUAACGCUUUCUUGAACCUUGACAAGUUGGAUUCUGGCUUGAAGUUUAAUGGAGAUCUGCCAGAGUGCUGCGAGGCGUCAUCACGUAGUGCUUGGUUGGGCUUGGUUAGCGCUUGGAAGCUAGGAUGUGGACGUACUAAUCAGGAACUCGGGAGGCGCGUGGGAGUCUGGCCGGUGGCGUGCGUUGUAUUUUUUUGGCUGAGUGCUGGGUUGGACCAGCUAGCACCCGAGUGCUGGGUUGGACCAGCUAGCACCCGGAUGCUAGGUCGGACAAACCAGCACCGGAUGCUAGCUAGCCGCGUCCCUUAUUUUUGACCCAACGGUUACAAACUAUUUGAUUGUUAAUACUACCAUAACACUUUAUGCUUUCAUAAAGAUUUGUCUAAACUU